CUAUGUUAGCGGCGGACGGGUGAGUAACACGUGGGUAACCUGCCUGUAAGACUGGGAUAACUCCGGGAAACCGGGGCUAAUACCGGAUGGUUGUUUGAACCGCAUGGUUCAGACAUAAAAGGUGGCUUCGGCUACCACUUACAGAUGGACCCGCGGCGCAUUAGCUAGUUGGUGAGGUAACGGCUCACCAAGGCGACGAUGCGUAGCCGACCUGAGAGGGUGAUCGGCCACACUGGGACUGAGACACGGCCCAGACUCCUACGGGAGGCAGCAGUAGGGAAUCUUCCGCAAUGGACGAAAGUCUGACGGAGCAACGCCGCGUGAGUGAUGAAGGUUUUCGGAUCGUAAAGCUCUGUUGUUAGGGAAGAACAAGUGCCGUUCAAAUAGGGCGGCACCUUGACGGUACCUAACCAGAAAGCCACGGCUAACUACGUGCCAGCAGCCGCGGUAAUACGUAGGUGGCAAGCGUUGUCCGGAAUUAUUGGGCGUAAAGGGCUCGCAGGCGGUUUCUUAAGUCUGAUGUGAAAGCCCCCGGCUCAACCGGGGAGGGUCAUUGGAAACUGGGGAACUUGAGUGCAGAAGAGGAGAGUGGAAUUCCACGUGUAGCGGUGAAAUGCGUAGAGAUGUGGAGGAACACCAGUGGCGAAGGCGACUCUCUGGUCUGUAACUGACGCUGAGGAGCGAAAGCGUGGGGAGCGAACAGGAUUAGAUACCCUGGUAGUCCACGCCGUAACGAUGAGUGCUAAGUGUUAGGGGGUUUCCGCCCCUUAGUGCUGCAGCUAACGCAUUAAGCACUCCGCCUGGGGAGUACGGUCGCAAGACUGAAACUCAAAGGAAUUGACGGGGGGCCCGCACAAGCG
rnacentral:rRNA from 1 species